GACAACCUGGUUGAUCCUGCCAGUAGUCAUAUGCUUGUCUCAAAGAUUAAGCCAUGCAUGUCUCAGUACAAGCCAAAUUAAGGUGAAACCGCGAAAGGCUCAUUAAAUCAGUUAUGGUUCCUUAGAUCGUACCAACAUUUACUUGGAUAACUGUGGUAAUUCUAGAGCUAAUACAUGCAAACAGAGCUUCGACCGGAGACGGAAGAGGCGCUUUUAUUAGAUCAAAACCAAUCGGCGGCGAGUUCGCUUGCGGGCUCGUCGUCGUUUUCACUGACGAAUCUGAAUAACUUUCUGCUGAUCGCACGGUCUCGCACCGGCGACGCAUCUUUCAAAUGUCUGCCUUAUCAACUGUCGAUGGUAGGUUCUGUGCCUACCAUGGUUGUAACGGGUAACGGGGAAUCAGGGUUCGAUUCCGGAGAGGGAGCCUGAGAAACGGCUACCACAUCCAAGGAAGGCAGCAGGCGCGCAAAUUACCCACUCCCGGCACGGGGAGGUAGUGACGAAAAAUAACGAUACGGGACUCAUCCGAGGCCCCGUAAUCGGAAUGAGAACAAUUUAAAUCCUUUAACGAGGAUCAAUUGGAGGGCAAGUCUGGUGCCAGCAGCCGCGGUAAUUCCAGCUCCAAUAGCGUAUAUUAAAGUUGUUGCGGUUAAAAAGCUCGUAGUCGAAUCUGUGUCCCGCGCCGCCGGUUCGUCGCUCGCGGCGUUUAACUGGCGUGUCCGCGGGACGUCCUGCCGGUGGGCUUAGCUUUUUUAGGAAGGCGGCCCAAUCUUAAUCCCGCCGCGGUGCUCUUCACCGAGUGUCGAGGCGGGCCGGCACGUUUACUUUGAACAAAUUAGAGUGCUUAAAGCAGGCUAAAACUUCGCCUGAAUACUUCGUGCAUGGAAUAAUGGAAUAGGACCUCGGUUCUAUUUUGUUGGUUUUCGGAACUCCGAGGUAAUGAUUAAUAGGAACGGAUGGGGGCAUUCGUAUUGCGACGUUAGAGGUGAAAUUCUUGGAUCGUCGCAAGACGGACAGAAGCGAAAGCAUUUGCCAAA
rnacentral:rRNA from 1 species